UCAGACGAUGCGUCAUGCAUAUCAAUAAGCGGAGGAAAAGAAACUAACAAGGAUUCCCCUAGUAACGGCGAGUGAAGCGGGAAGAGCUCAAAUUUGAAAUCUUAAAGGGUUUCCCUUUACGAAUUGUAGUUUAAAGAAGUGUUUUCUGUUGAGGUUUUGGUAAAAGUUCUUUGGAAUAGGACAUCAUAGAGGGUGAGAAUCCCGUAUUUGACCUUUACUUUCAACUUUGUGAUACACUUUCAAAGAGUCGGAUUGUUUGGGAAUGCAGUCCAAAAUGGGUGGUAAAUUUCAUCUAAAGCUAAAUAUUGGCGAGAGACCGAUAGCGAACAAGUACCGUGAGGGAAAGAUGAAAAGAACUUUGAAAAGAGAGUUAAACAGUACGUGAAAUUGUCAAAAGGGAAGCGUUUGACACCAGUGUUGUUUUUCUGAAAAUCAAUUAAAGAACUGUUUAUGCUAAGCUGUUUAGACUUUAUCAGCUAUCUGUUUAGUUUUAGGCUUUUCUUUAAUGCACUUUUCAGUUAACAAGUCAACAUCAAUUUCUUUUGCUGUAAAAAAGCUUGAGGAAGGUGGCUUGAGAUUCGUCUUAAGUGUUUAUAGCCUCUUGCCUAUGCAGUCGGAGAGAUUGAGGUCUGCAGCGUAGAUCCUUCGGGGCUAAAUGCAUUUGUGCUAAGUUAUAGCAUUUUAUAGACAACUUGUUGACUAUGAUUUGUCUUGUAGCUUACUCGCUUAUGUUAUUUUACCUACGCUUAGGAUGUUGACACACGCGCGUGCUCG
rnacentral:rRNA from 1 species